CCUUUGACGUUAGCGGCGGACGGGUGAGUAACACGUGGGUAACCUACCUAUAAGACUGGGAUAACUUCGGGAAACCGGAGCUAAUACCGGAUAAUAUUUCGAACCGCAUGGUUCGAUAGUGAAAGAUGGUUUUGCUAUCACUUAUAGAUGGACCCGCGCCGUAUUAGCUAGUUGGUAAGGUAACGGCUUACCAAGGCGACGAUACGUAGCCGACCUGAGAGGGUGAUCGGCCACACUGGAACUGAGACACGGUCCAGACUCCUACGGGAGACAGCAGGG
rnacentral:rRNA from 1 species